GUGCUUUUUUUUCUGAAGCUUUGGUAGUGUAACGGUAAGAGUCCUGGAAUUGGAAAAGCAAAUCCAGAAGUUGAGUUCCAUGACUUUUUUGCUGUUUGCCUUUGGACUUGCAUCGUUUAUAUUUUUAAUUCAUCGAGGAUGAGAAAAUUGAUUAACACAAAAUCUUUUCAUGUCUUUUCUGAUGACAGACUAGCUGAAUCCAAGAAGAGAAGCCCUUGAAGAGUGUAUUCUAUUCUAGUCAAGCAUUCACACAUUGGCUUCUUUGGUGCCAGAUCCUGGUCACAGAUUUUGGUGUGGAUGUGGUAAAAAGGGAGCACUUUUUACACUGCUGGUGGGAAGGGAAAUUAGUACAACCACAAUGGAAAACUGUAUAGAGAUUCUUUAAAGAACUAGAAGUAGAAUCACCAUUUGACCCAGCAAUCCCACUACUGAGUAUAUACCCAGAGGAAAACAACUUAUUAUAUGAGAAAGAUAAGCACAUGCAUGUUUAUAACAGCACAAGUUGCAAUUGAAAAAAUAUGGAACCAGCCCAAUUGCCCCUCAGUGAACAAGUGGAUAAAGAAAAUGUGGUAUAUCUACACAAUGGAAUACUACUCAACCAAAAAAGAAAAAAAACAAUGACAUUUACAGCAACCUGGAUGGAGAUUGAAGACAAUUAUUCUAUGUGAAGUAACUCAUUAAUGCAAAACCAAAUAUUGUAGGUUUUCCCUCAUAAGUGGGGCCUAAGCUAUGAGGACACAAAGGCAUAAGAAUGAUAUGAUGGAUUUUGGGGAAUUGAGAGGAAGUUUGGGAGGGAAGUGAGGGGUAAAAGACUACACGCUGGGUACAGUGUACACUGCUCAAGUGACGGGUUCACCAGAAUCUUAGAAAUCACCACUAAAGAGCUUUUCCAUGUAACCAAAAGCCACCUGCUCCCAAAAGCCAUUGAAAUAAAAUUUUUUAAAAAACUA